rnacentral:rRNA from 1 species
AGAAUCAACGCUGGCGGCGUGCCUAACACAUGCAAGUCGAACGAGAAAGUGGAGCAAUCCAUUAGUAAAGUGGCGCACGGGUGAGUAACACGUGACUAACCUACCCUUGAGUGGGGGAUAACCUAGAGAAAUCUGGGCUAAUACCGCAUAAUACCUUCGGGUCAAAGGAGCAAUUCGCUUAAGGAGGGGGUCGCGGCCGAUUAGUUAGUUGGCGGGGUAAUGGCCCACCAAGACUAUGAUCGGUAUCCGGCCUGAGAGGGCGCACGGACACACUGGAACUGAAACACGGUCCAGACUCCUACGGGAGGCAGCAGUGGGGAAUUUGCGCAAUGGGGGAAACCCUGACGCAGCAACGCCGCGUGGAGGAUGAAGCCCCUUGGGGCGUAAACUCCUUUCGAUCGGGACGAUAAUGACGGUACCGAGAGAAGAAGCCCCGGCUAACUUCGUGCCAGCAGCCGC